rnacentral:lncRNA from 1 species
UAUAUUUACUCCAGAAAUUAGACCAGAUGAGUGUUGACAUUGACAGCUAGUAUAAAGCCUGAGCCAAACUUCUGCCGAGUACAUUCGAGAACUGGAUUCUUCGUUAUACGUUUGCUAUCAACGCCAUGGCCCCCGUAAAGACUUUGCUUGCUUUCCUGGUGCUCCUCCUAUCAGUAUUUGCGUGCGGGAAUCCAGUGGCUGAGCCGGGAUACCGAAGACACGGCGGUCAUGGCAGAGGAUACGGACACAGGAGUUACGGAUACGGUCAUAGGAGCCACGGUUAUGGCCAUAGGAGUCAUGGAUAUGGAUAUGGUCGUUAGACGAGUAGAUGCUGAUACUCUUCAUGAAGUGAAAAGCUAAAUGGAAUUCCCGGCAAAAUAUGACAACGAAAAAGAAUCAGACAUUGUAACAUCAGCAAUUCAAUCUGUUAUCUACAACUUAUGACCACAUCACAUGGCUUCUCUCG